rnacentral:rRNA from 1 species
UACGUAGGGGGGCUAGCGUUGUCCGGAAUCAUUGGGCGUAAAGCGCGUGUAGGCGGCCCGGUAAGUCCGCUGUGAAAGUCGGGGGGCUCAACCCUCGAAAGCCGGUGGAUACUGUCGGGCUAGAGUGCGGAAGAGGCGAGUGGAAUUCCUGGUGUAGCGGUGAAAUGCGCAGAUAUCAGGAGGAACACCAGUGCGAAGGCAGGCUC